UUCCCCUCCUCUCCCUCACUCCCCACCAGGAAAAAGCUGGAAAUAGUGAGAGAUGAGGGGAGGGAGACGGUGGCUCCAAAACGCAAUGGAGGCUCAAGGAAGACGUCAGCAGACGUCCUGUUAUAUCUACCACGGCCACGAGGCCUGGCUGCAAGUGAGAGGCAUUUCUGGUGGGAAAACCCAUCAUGGGCCCCCAGGGGAGACCCCUGCCCCUGCUGGCCCUGGGCUGCCCAUCUUCGAGCCAGGAAGAAUUACAGGGCUGACUCUGGAUAAAAGAUUAGUCUUCAGCCUGGGAAGUGCUCUGGCCAGCUGAGAGAGCUAUGUGAGGAGGAAACUGUCCUGGAUUUGCUCAUUCCCCACAGCGCCAACAGAGUGCUGAGAACACAAAAGGAAAUCCUUCUGACUUCUGGGAACAGAAGGGGCAGCAGGAGCUGUGAGCCUGAGCCAGGCCCUCCUGCUACUUCCUCAAAAUGGACAGAAGGAACCAGCUUUCUCGGGAAACAGGGCUGCUUAGCAAGAGGCCUCGGACCUGCCAUGGGAUGGAAGUAGCAAGAAAAACAAAGCAUGUCUGAGACCGAGGAUGCGAGUCAAGAAGAAGCUGAACUUGGCAGACCAGAUUCACAAAUCCAGGAUCUAGAAAUUUCCAAGUUUCUGUAAGAGGAAUGAAACCCAGCUCUGCAGUCACACGUGCCUGUGAUUUAUCUCCCCUCAACAACAUAGCCGUCUAGGAUCCCACAGAUGCUGCUUUCAAGGAACUUCAGAGGGUUCCUAGGAAAAGUUUGUUUCAAACUGAUGAAACCCCAAAUAUAUUGGAGAUCAAUAAUUUAAAGUGUCAGUAAGAUAAAAUGUUAAGAUAAGAAAAGAAUAUGGCCAAGUCAGCCAUACCUGGUGUCCAGCGAUGCUGAGGCUGCCACGCCUCUGGCAGCACACAUUGUCCAGAGUCAUGGUUAAUGAUGACAGGACCUGAGUCCUGUGAUCUAAGGUGGUGGACCCUGUAUACUCAUAGGUCUGUUCUGCGGCAGAAUUUUUUUUUUGAGGUUCUGGAAAUUUAACCUCCCUUUGUUUUUCCACCUUCUGAGCUUGGAUCUCCAGCUUCCACGGUAAUUUUAUGAGCUACCAAACGAUCAUUCAGACAAUUGAUUUUCUGGUUGAAUGAGAAUCAGUUUCUGUUAUUUCUAACUUAGACUGGACAGAGUUAUUGCAUAAAAUUCAACAAGUCAAAACAUAUUAGGUGGUUAUAAAACUAGGAUUGAAAAAAUAAUAAUUUCCACUUACGGCCAAAAAUGGAAUUUAUAGCAACAAGAUUUAUUCUCACACUUUAAGGAACUAGAAAACUGGACAAAAUGCAAAGAACAGGGGUUUUCACUCACCAAACAGGCAGUGCGAGGCUGCGAUCCCACGGAGAAGGGAACAAGGUGGGCCCCACAGCUGCACCCACUGACUGCCUGGAUGCAGUUUCCAGGCCUCAGCACAGGGAGGGCUAGCCCAAACCGGAGCCAGUUAUCUUGAUGAGUGGAAAGAGACAGAAAUCAGAGCUCAGAGAGACCCAG
ensembl:lncRNA